UAAGCAGACCCAGCAGUUG
rnacentral:misc_RNA from 1 species